AUGAACGCUGGCGGCGUGCCUAAUCCAUGCAAGUCGAGCGAACAGACGAGGAGCUUGCUCCUCUGACGUUAGCGGCGGACGGGUGAGUAACACGUGGAUAACCUACCUAUAAGACUGGGAUAACUUCGGGAAACCGGAGCUAAUACCGGAUAAUAUAUUGAACCGCAUGGUUCAAUAGUGAAAGACGGUUUUGCUGUCACUUAUAGAUGGAUCCGCGCCGCAUUAGCUAGUUGGUAAGGUAACGGCUUACCAAGGCGACGAUGCGUAGCCGACCUGAGAGGGUGAACGGCCACCCUGGAACUGAGACACGGUCCAGACUCCUACGGGAGGCAGCAGUAGGGAAUCUUCCGCAAUGGGCGAAAGCCUGACGGAGCAACGCCGCGUGAGUGAUGAAGGUCUUCGGAUCGUAAAACUCUGUUAUUAGGGAAGAACAAAUGUGUAAGUAACUAUGCACGUCUUGACGGUACCUAAUCAGAAAGCCACGGCUAACUACGUG
rnacentral:rRNA from 1 species